GUGUUCGUCGAAAGGUGACACUGGCGAGACCGAGCUCCGCGGCGUCGGGAAAGAGAAAGAUUUCGAUCGCAAGAACAGUCGAUGGUUAGUGUUCUCGAGAGUCUUCCACGGCACUUGCUUAUCCACAGCUCUUGCAGGCUCUUCCAUUGAAUCUUUACGAGAACAGCAGGAGAAACAAGCAAGACCCGAGGUAUAGCAAUUUUUUUGUCUCUCUCUUCGCGUGAAAAUUACCAAUGAUCAGCUGCAGUUGCCAUGCCCGUUGCUUCUCCCGAGACAAAUCGACAGCAUGUCUGCCUCAAAGAAAUCCCAUGCAACGCGACCUCUUGCGUUGCUCAUUCCGAAAUGCGGCAUACAAAUCAAGCAGGUGCCUGUGUUGAUCACAAGGAGGAGGAGCUCAGUGAAAUUCUCCCGAGAGGAAAAUCCAAAGCUCACAGU
rnacentral:lncRNA from 1 species